rnacentral:lncRNA from 1 species
CCACCCCUCCCCCAUAGCUUCCAAGUUGUCUAACCAUUGGGGCUAGAUAUAUCAUUACACAAAGUAAAAAUUGAUUUACAAAAUUUAUUCUACAAUCAUGACAAAUUUGGCAGGUAUGGUUCUAUUAACAAGAACUAUUAAGCAAAGAUCUAAAUUGUUUCACCCUCUGAUUUUGCAAUGGAACUCCUUGCCAUUUCUUUAGAUUGUAAAGAUAAUAGGCCAUAAGUAUGUACAAAUAUACUCUAACAUAUUUACAAAAACUACAGAAAGCUACAAAAUAUUUGUGCAGUUGAUAUAAAUCUCAUGUCACUAACCUACAAAAGAGCCUAUUGUCUUUAAAGUGUGACGAUUGGAUUUACAAUGUAUUUGCAAUUCUUUUUUCUACUUUUUGUGGCAAUUGUGAAACUACUUGAGCUGGUUCGCUUCGAUCGAAAAAGAAAUAGAAACGAGCAAUGAAAAAAACUCAGUAUUAUUCCACGCAAUUGGUACCGUAUUUACUCAUCUUAUCUGCUUAUAAUCUCCAAAAGAACUUACAGAUAUAUAAACUCAACAGAAAUCACUCUUUGUAGCAGACACAAGCGAUCAAAACAUGCAAAAAGCAUGCGGUGAAUUUAGGAUUGAAACUAACCCAUCAGAGAAUGACAAAGUUUCCUGAGAUGUCCGAAGUCUCCUUGUGUUUUUACUUUAAUGUUAUUGGAUCGUUUAUCAAAAAAGAUUGACAUCCUUUCCUCUCGAUAAACAUGUUCAUUGGUUCAUUUUUCUUCAUUUCGAUCCUGUUCAAGUAACUUUUGUGCUUUGAGUUUCUCUGCAUUCAUUCACCAUAAUGUGUUGGGUUGUAAUUUGAACUUAGCAGGUUACCUCACAGUUGCUUGAAUAGUAAGUGGUUCUGAUAAUUAUUUUACAGUUUACAAUUGGAAUUGCUGAGGCUUGAAUUAAAAGCCCCACUUAGACUGACUAUUGCUCAUUACUUAAUGCAUGUCUUUCACCUGCUUCUGUGAUGUUAUUGCCCCAGAGGAAUAAUGUGCGUAGCUGACAGUUGUUUGUGAUGGCGUCAGCCAAGUGCUGUGCUCCUGUGGCUGUGAUGUUAUUGUGUGAGAGGUUUAACAUGUGUAGCUGACAGUUGUUGUUUGUGAUGGCUUCAGCCAAGUGCUGUGCUCCUGUGUCUGUGAUGUUAUUGCCUGAGAGUUGUAACUUACGUAGCUGACAGUUGUUGUUUGUGAUGGCAUCAGCCAAGUGCUGUGCUAUUUAAUAUAUAAAGAGCCAAGUUGUGAAGGUAAAGUUUCUUGCCCAAAAAUAAAUAACAAUUUGGAAUAACACAUUUGUGUUGUUUACUAUCUCGACCAGAAUCACAAGUUUGCAAAAGAAACUUGCAAAGAUUGAGAAAAGAGAGACAGAAGAAACUGCGGCUUUAGAAAAUAUGGUGGAAUGAGUGAGACUUAUCUAUACAGGCAUUUAGGCUUGUAGUUCAAACAAUACUGUUGGUUUUUAUCUCGAUUUUGUUCCUUCACAAGCUUCACAGCUGCAAAGAGCUCUCAGAGCAGGAGCUACAGUUGCAAAAUUGAAAGAAGAAGUGAAUAUAUUAAAGACAGAGUCAAUUCCUGUAGCAACAUAUAACCAGCUGUUAGAUGCCAAUCAUUAUACAAUUACAGCUGUCAAAGAUAAAUCAAAAGCUGCUGCUCAUCAAAUGAAAAUAGCAGCGAAAAAUGCCUAGCAAGCAGUAAGAUAUGUGCUUCUUUGUAUAAUUAAGCUUGUCUAGUUGUGACAAACGAUCACUUGUUUUCAAUCUUGGUGUAAGGUGUGUGCUUAUUUUGUAUAAU